rfam:Pan troglodytes isolate Yerkes chimp pedigree #C0471 (Clint) chromosome 11, whole genome shotgun sequence.
GCCGGGCAUGGUUGCGCACACCUGUAGUCCCAGCUACUCGGGAGGCUGAGGUGGGAGGAUAGCUUGAGCCCAGGAGGUGGAGGCUGCAGUGAGCCCUGAUCUCACCACUGCACUCUAGCCUGGGCAACAGAGCAAGACCCUGUCUCAA